rnacentral:rRNA from 1 species
CCCUUAGAUGUUCUGGGCCGCGCGCGCGCUACACUGUUCGACGCAGCGAGUCUUAACCUUGACCGAAAGGUUUGGGUAAUCUUCAGCAAAGUCGAACGUGAUGGGGAUCGAUCAUUGCAAUUAUUGAUCGUGAACGAGGAAUUCCUAGUAAGUGCAAGUCAUCAGCUUGCGCUGAUUACGUCCCUGCCCUUUGUACACACCGCCCGUCGCUACUACCGAUUGAAUGGUUUAGUGAGAUCUCUGGAUUGACGCUGGCUAGGGGGCGACCCUUGGCCAGACUGUUGAGAAACUGCUCAAACUUGAUCAUUUAGAGGAAGUAAAAGUCGUAACA